rnacentral:rRNA from 1 species
GACGAACGCUGGCGGCGUGCUUAACACAUGCAAGUCGAAUGAAGAGGCGAACGGGUGAGUAACGCGUAAUCAACCUGCCCUUCAGAGGGGGACAACAGCUGGAAACGACUGCUAAUACCGUAUACUGAAGGAGGGGAUUGCGUUUGAUUAGCUAGUUGGGGGGGUAACGGCUCACAAAGGCCACGUUGCAUAGCCGACCUUGGAGGGUGUCAUGCCACGCUGGGUCUGAGGCUCUGCCCAGACUCCUACGGAAGGCAGUAUUAGGGAAUCUGCGGCAAAUGACGAAAGUCUGACCAAGCAACGCCGCAUGAGUGAAGAAGGUUUUCGGAUCGUAAAUCUCUGUUGUUAGUGAAGCGAUAUCUAACCAGAAAGCCACGGCUAACUACGUGCCAGCAGCCGCGGUGAUAC